rnacentral:rRNA from 1 species
UACGUAGGGGGCGAGCGUCGUCCGGAUUUAUUGGGCGUAAAGAGCUCGUAGGCGGUUUGGCAAGUCGGGUGUGAAAACUCCGGGCUCAACUCGGAGACGCCACUCGAUACUGCUAUGACUCGAGUCCGGUAGGGGAGUGCGGAAUUCCUGGUGUAGCGGUGAAAUGCGCAGAUAUCAGGAGGAACACCGGUGGCGAAGGCGGGUCUCUGGGCCGAUACUGACACUGAGGAGCGAAAGCGUGGGGAGCGAACAGG